AUUGAACGCUGGCGGCAGGCCUAACACAUGCAAGUCGAGCGGAUGAAGGGAGCUUGCUCCUGGAUUCAGCGGCGGACGGGUGAGUAAUGCCUAGGAAUCUGCCUGGUAGUGGGGGGUAACGUCCGGAAACGGGCGCUAAUACCGCAUACGUCCUGAGGGAGAAAGUGGGGGAUCUUCGGACCUCACGCUAUCAGAUGAGCCUAGGUCGGAUUAGCUAGUUGGUGGGGUAAAGGCCUACCAAGGCGACGAUCCGUAACUGGUCUGAGAGGAUGAUCAGUCACACUGGAACUGGGACACGGUCCAGACUCCUACGGGAGGCAGCAGUGGGGAAUAUUGGACAAUGGGCGAAAGCCUGAUCCAGCCAUGCCGCGUGUGUGAAGAAGGUCUUCGGAUUGUAAAGCACUUUAAGUUGGGAGGAAGGGCAGUAAGUUAAUACCUUGCUGUUUUGACGUUACCAACAGAAUAAGCACCGGCUAACUUCGUG
rnacentral:rRNA from 1 species